CAGAAGGGAAAAGGCACCAAACCACGACAUCUUCAGUUGAUUACAAUGCCUUUAAGUCUUUGAUAAGUCAAAGAGGAUGAGACUAAACAGAGGGCUAUUCAGGACUUAACCAGUUCACCAGUAACUUGGCAACUGACGAAGUGGUUGACGUGCCUUAUCAUCUGUCAAGGUGCACCAUUCUUAAGGAAAUGGCCUUCGACUCUAAACAGUGGGCUGGACUCCAGCAAGAUGAGUGAACUUUUUAGCUGAUGUCAUUUUAAUUAUGGGGCUGGAUGGGAGGCCCCCUAAUCAUAUUAGCUGAACUCUCCAGCCAGACCGCAAUAGAUCACGUUUCACAUAAAUCUGCUUGAGGUUGUGACCUGUUUCUAAAUACAAUACAUUGCAGAGACUUCAAUGAAAAGUACUUGUUUGUCCACUUAUAUUAGAUUUGUGUACUAACAUAUCAUGAAUUAGCAUUUUAUUCAUCAACUGGUUCAUGUAAUCAGGACUAGCUUGAUGGGGUUAACUGUCCCAGUCUUAACAUUAUCUUCCUGGGCUAACAGUGGAUGUCUUUAUUAAUGAUUCCAGCUAGAUGUAUAACUCUAUAGCUGUAUUAAAUACUAACUCUUAACAGCUUUGUUCUUUUGACAAUUUUCAGAUGCCUUUGCUGUUUACUGAAGCAAUCCACUGGGACCUUGCAGGCUUCAAAUAGCUUUUGGCCUUUGGAGAAGUUCAUGUUAAAGAAGCUCUGAAGAAGGCCUUGAGGCAGAUUCUUAAUAAAAAGCAGUGAUACUAACGUGA